rnacentral:rRNA from 1 species
UACGUAGGGGGCAAGCGUUGUCCGGAAUCAUUGGGCGUAAAGCGCGCGUAGGCGGCCCGGUAAGUCCGCUGUAAAAGUCAGGGGCUCAACCCUUGAACGCCGGUGGAUACUGCCGGGCUAGAGUCCGGAAGAGGCGAGUGGAAUUCCUGGUGUAGCGGUGGAAUGCGCAGAUAUCAGGAGGAACACCUGCGGCGAAGGCGGGUAGCUGGGCCGACACUGACGCUGAGGCGCGAAAGCGUGGGGAGCAAACAGG